rnacentral:rRNA from 1 species
UACGUAGGGCGCAAGCGUUGUCCGGAAUUAUUGGGCGUAAAGAGCUCGUAGGCGGCUUGUCACGUCGGAUGUGAAAGCCCGGGGCUUAACCCCGGGUCUGCAUUCGAUACGGGCUAGCUAGAGUGUGGUAGGGGAGAUCGGAAUUCCUGGUGUAGCGGUGAAAUGCGUAGAUAUCGUUUGGAACGCCAAAGGUGAAAACAGACAGCUGGGAGUGUGCUGACGCUGAGACACGAAAGCCAGGGGAGCGAACGGG